CUGUGCGUAUAUACUCCUAUGUAUUGUAGAUUAAUGCCACCCUCGGAAGAAAACAUUAACAUUGUUCGUCGACAUCAGCAUUUUGUCGCUAGCGGUUAUCGCUAAUUCAAUUGUUAAUUGAUGGAAUUAUUUUGUUGCCAUAACAGCAGACCAACCGACCAAUUACUCGGUCACUCAGUUAGUUAGUAUGCUAGUGUUCUCCUCUCAGUAUUAUAUAACAUGUUAAUUUUUUCGAGAUGGUGUGGCUGGUGACGUGGGCAGCAGGCGUCACUACAACGCAAGGGAUGCGUCAUGGUUGCAGAAAGUCUUCAUGUGGUAGCAUGCAAUAAAUUAAUCACAAGCGAAGAGUUUUCAAUUUAAGGUUUGCAUAAAAGGAUGUUAAUACUGUCAUUCGCUGCCAUUAUAUUUUACGAAAGUGAAUUACAUUUAAAAUUUUCGGAUUAACAUGUAAUUAUCGUGUUAAAUAAAUAUUGUUCGGCUGCUCUUUGUA